rnacentral:rRNA from 1 species
UACGGGGGGGCAAGCGUUGUUCGGAAUUACUGGCGUAAAGGGCGCGUAGGCGGCCUGCUAAGUCGGACGUGAAUCCCUCGGCUCACCGGGAACUGCGUCCGAUACUGGCGAGCUUGAAUCCGGAGAGGGAUGUGGAAUUCCAGGUGUAGCGGUGAAAUGACGUAGAUAUCUGGAGGAACACCAGUGGCGAAGGCGGCAUCCUGGACCGGUAUUGACGCUGAGGCGCGAAAGCUAGGG